rnacentral:rRNA from 1 species
AGAGUUUGAUCAUGGCUCAGGACGAACGCUGGCGGCGUGCUUAACACAUGCAAGUCGAGCGAUGAAGCUUCCUUCGGGAAGUGGAUUAGCGGCGGACGGGUGAGUAACACGUGGGUAACCUGCCUCAAAGUGGGGGAUAGCCUUCCGAAAGGGAGAUUAAUACCGCAUAACAUAAGAGAAUCGCAUGAUUUUCUUAUCAAAGAUUUAUUGCUUUGAGAUGGACCCGCGGCGCAUUAGCUAGUUGGUAAGGUAACGGCUUACCAAGGCAACGAUGCGUAGCCGACCUGAGAGGGUGAUCGGCCACAUUGGAACUGAGACACGGUCCAGACUCCUACGGGAGGCAGCAGUGGGGAAUAUUGCGCAAUGGGGGAAACCCUGACGCAGCAACGCCGCGUGGGUGAUGAAGGUCUUCGGAUUGUAAAGCCCUGUUUUCUGGGACGAUAAUGACGGUACCAGAGGAGGAAGCCACGGCUAACUACGUGCCAGCAGCCGCGGUAAUACGUAGGUGGCGAGCGUUGUCCGGAUUUACUGGGCGUAAAGGGUGCGUAGGCGGAUGUUUAAGUGGGAUGUGAAAUCCCCGGGCUUAACCUGGGGGCUGCAUUCCAAACUGGAUAUCUAGAGUGCAGGAGAGGAAAGCGGAAUUCCUAGUGUAGCGGUGAAAUGCGUAGAGAUUAG